rnacentral:lncRNA from 1 species
UGCUCCCCUCCCCCCGCCGCCACCCCACCCCACCCCACCCCACCCCCGACAGGGUCCGCAGCGCUCACACAGCAGCCCCCGGAGCCGCCCCUCGGCCUGCGGGAGGCACUUCCGGUUACUGGCGAACACUCGGAUCCGGCUUCCAGGCGGCCGUAGGCUUCGCAGCAAGGGCUCAGGAGGUUUAGUUUCCAGAGGGAAAGAAAGCGAGUCUGAGAGGGCUACGAGAACUCGGAGCAACUCCCUUGACGCUAACCGGUGGUGUUACCCACAUCUGGGGAAUCCUAGAGGAUGUCAUAUAUUGCAAAAAACUCACUACAGUGAUGGCCCUUAGAGAAGAAGUUGAAAAUGCAUGUACAGGAAUCUCAAUGACCAAGGUUACUGGAGCAGCAGUUUGCCAUGCUAAUGCCAUGCUAAUGGUCAGAAGCUAAUGGCCACCGCCUUGAGCACCACUUGUAACUCUAGAGGCCAAAGGUAACUUGUAUUAAUCUCAUGAUGUCUCAAUAAAUCUAGUAUUAAAAUAGUUAUACA